AUACGUAGGGGGCGAGCGUUGUCCGGAAUGAUUGGGAGUAAAGGGCGCGUAGGCGGCCAUUUAAGUCUGGAGUGAAAGUCCUGCUUUUAAGGUGGGAAUUGCUUUGGAUACUGUCGGGCUUGAGUGCAGGAGAGGUAAGUGGAAUUCCCAGUGUAGCGGUGAAAUGCGUAGAGAUUGGGAGGAACACCAGUGGCGAAGGCGACUUACUGGACUGUAACUGACGCUGAGGCACGAAAGUGUGGGGAGCAAACAGGAUUAGAUACCCUGGUAGUCCACACUGUAAACGAUGAAUGCUAGGUGUAGGGGGUAUCGACCCCUUCUGUGCCGCAGUUAACACAAUAAGCAUUCCGCCUGGGGAGUACGGCCGCAAGGUUGAAACUCAAAGGAAUUGACGGGG
rnacentral:rRNA from 1 species